CUUAUUAACACCAUCCCUCCCCCUGUGUGCAGGCUGGGCUGGAUAUUACACACAGUGCCACUCCAACACCUGUGUCUGUGGAGGCUGGAAAAGAAGUGAUUGCUGAGAAUGGCUGCUUCACUGGGUAUGAGACAUCCCAAGCCAGACACCUGGACUGCUUCAUACAGACAGUGGGCAGAGCACUGGCUCAGAAAGUGUAUUACCAAAGCACACUGGAAGAUUACAGGGACAUGUGUGAACCUUGCAGAUACACUGAGGAAGGAGAAUUAGAGCCCAGUAACUCCCCCUGCUCCAUCUCCAUUAGCAGUGAGGACCUGCCUGAUGAUUUCUUGAACACUCUGGGACCAAUGUUUUGUGCUCUGGAAGAGAUCUGUCAGAAGUGAUCUCCAUCACUCAGUUAAUGUCAGAAGGCUGUGACUAUGGUGCUGCAAAGGCUUCUGGCAGGAGCAGUGACAAUUUCAGGAAAAAAGGACCAUCUGUACCUGAAGGCAUUGCAGUGUUUGCAGCAUGAGCACCUGGCCUUUCAUCCUUCC
rnacentral:lncRNA from 1 species